rnacentral:rRNA from 1 species
UACCUGGUUGAUCCUGCCAGUAGUCAUAUGCUUGUCUCAAAGAUUAAGCCAUGCAUGUCUAAGUAUAAACUGCUUUAUACUGUGAAACUGCGAAUGGCUCAUUAAAUCAGUUAUAGUUUAUUUGAUGGUACUUACUUACUCGGAUACCCGUAGUAAUUCUAGAGCUAAUACGUGCGUACAUCCCGACUUCUGGAAGGGACGUAUUUAUUAGAUAAAAGGCCGACCGGGCUUGCCCGACUCGCGGUGACUCAUGAUAACUUCACGAAUCGCAUGGCCUUGCGCCGGCGAUGUUUCAUUCAAAUUUCUGCCCUAUCAACUUUUGAUGGUAGGAUAGAGGCCUACCAUGGUGGUAACGGGUGACGGAGAAUUAGGGUUCGAUUCCGGAGAGGGAGCCUGAGAAACGGCUACCACAUCCAAGGAAGGCAGCAGGCGCGCAAAUUACCCAAUCCUGAUACAGGGAGGUAGUGACAAUAAAUAACAAUACCGGGCCUUUGGUCUGGUAAUUGGAAUGAGUACAACCUAAACACCUUAACGAGGAUCAAUUGGAGGGCAAGUCUGGUGCCAGCAGCCGCGGUAAUUCCAGCUCCAAUAGC